UGCCCAGACCAACCUCUGUAGUAAACAGCAUGAGUGUUCAAUCUACAGCAGAGUGGCCACAAAGUGGAACACAGAGUGGAACAAAGCAGGUACUUUUUAAACACCAGAGCAAGACCCUCCAGGAACCUGCCUUGUGGUAGACCCGUAAAAGGAACCUCCAUUUCAUGCCAUGGUGCUUCGAGGACCGUACCAGCCUUGCAGUACCACAACAUGGACUGAGCUGGAGGCAUCUAAAGGCAUCAACACAGAGCACUAACAAGAACGAUGUAACAGCUCAGCUGUUCCAUCUUAACCGCCUCCUAACAAGCAGGUCCUGGGUGCCUCUGACAGGUGACAAAAUGCCCUGCCAACUCUACUGGAAAGACUGUGCUGCUGCUCUUAAAAGAGGUGGGAUGUGGAGAAAACACUCCAAAGUCCAUGGUUUGGGAACACAAAGACUCUCACUUUGCUUUUUGCCUAGCAGUAAGUACCUCUCUUGCUGUGGAGAUCAGGGGUAAGCCCCUGAGCAGGGCUAAGACGGGUUCAGGGUUCCCCAGGUCACAGGGUACAUAGCCUGGAUUUGCCAAAGUCUGGCAAGGGAAAAUGCCGAUGAGGCUCUUACUGGCAAUAGUUUUCUCCCCUUCCUAUCCAGAAAACCCUUUGCAGGGAUAAACUAGCUUCUGAAACCAAUGCCUGACUCUAGAGGUAGGUGACAUCUUUAAGAAAGUGGCUUCAGUAGAUAACAUGACUACCUGUCACUGAAGACUCACUCUGGUCUUCAGCUGGUUUUGUCUGGCUUCAUCAGCACUUUCCCUCUGUUUAGGUUAGUGUCCUCAGGCCCCCAAACCAUCCUACCACUUUUCUACUGAGUUUUCUGACAAACUGUUAGUUCUUUACAAGUAUUUCAGACUGCCUUCUUAAAAACUAAACUUGUGGCUUGCUGACUUAGAAGAUUUUUAAUGUGACAAGCCUGUAGGCAGCAACAUUUGCCAGUUUAACAACUCAUGGCAAAACUCCCCUAAAUACUUCAAGCCACCACUAGCUAGUUUUGAACAAGCCAUGAUGUACAACAUGAGAAA